rnacentral:rRNA from 1 species
GACGGGGGAUGCGAGCGUUAUCCGGAAUGAUUGGGCGUAAAGGGUCCGCAGGUGGCCCGGUCAGUCCGCUGUCAAAGCCUGGGGCUCAACCCCGGGUCGGCCGUGCGAACUGUUUUGCUUGAGCACUGUAGAGGCAGGCGGAAUUCCGGGUGUAGCGGUGGAAUGCGUAGAGAUCCGGAAGAACACCGGUGGCGAAGGCGGCCUGCUGGGCAGUAGCUGACACUGAGGCGCGACAGCGUGGGGAGCAAACAGG